rnacentral:rRNA from 1 species
CACACCGCCCGUCACACCAUGGGAGUUGGUUCUACCUGAAGGCAGUGCGCUAACCCGCAAGGGGGGCAGCUGACCACGGUAGGGUCAGCGACUGGGGUG